AUGUUACAAAGACCGCGAUCUUUUCAGUUACUUGCCAAUGCGCAUGGUGCAAGGGCGCACCAAGGCACGAACGCCAUGGCUACUACUCCUACGGCAAUCCACGCUGCUUCGCUCUUCUUCCCUCCCACUCCGACCAUGGCGCCGGCCCCUCGGAAGCCAUUGCCGUUGCUCCUCCUCUCCUUCUCCUUCCCCGUCCUCCUCCUACUCCUCUCCCUUGUCUUCCUCCUAUCGCACACCACCUUCAGCCUCCUCCUCUGCCCUCUCCUGCCGCAGUCACCUUCGAGGUCAGCAAAUGCCACAACGACCGGCGCUGCCGCCGCCGCCGCCGCUGGCCUUGACGUCUCCAUGGACAGGACCCUGCUCGCGUUUCACGUCUCGGCUUCGCCACCGCCGCCGGUGCCUCCUCCCCCUCUUGCACCUACUCCACCGGUUAAGAGUAAGAAGAACAGCAAGAAAUCCUCCACGAAGCGAAACAAGGGCCUCUUCAAGCGCCUGAUCAGGCAAGCUCCCCGGACGCGGCAGUUCGCGGCGCGCACUGCCGAGCUCUUCGCGCCGCCGUCACCGCAGCGGCCGUGUGCGCACCGCUUCUUCAUGACGUGGCUGUCCCCGCUCGAGAAGUUCGGAAGCCGCGAGGCCCUCGUCCUGGAGACCCUCUUCCGGUGGCACCGCGACGCCUGCCUCCUCAUCGCCUCCGACACCAUGGACUCCCCGGUCGGCAGCGACAGGCUCCGGCCGUUCCUCGACCGCGGCUUCCGCGUCCGCGCCGCGUCGCCGGACUUGGUGCACCUCCUGCGCGGCACGCCGGCGGAGUCGUGGCUCGGCGCGGUGCGGCGCGGGGAGGUCAGCCCGGGGAGCGUGCCGCUCGGGCAGAACCUCUCCAACCUCCUCCGCCUCGCGCUGCUCUACAAGUACGGCGGCGUCUACCUCGACGCCGACGUCGUCGUCCUCAGGCCCCUGUCGGGCCUCCGCAACGCCAUCGGGGCGCAGGCCGUGGACGCGGCCACCGGCGACUGGAUGCGGCUGAACAACGCCGUGAUGGCGUUCGACCGGGGCCACCCGCUGCUGCGCGAGUUCAUCGCCGAGUUCGCCGCCACGUUCGACGGCAGCAAGUGGGGACACAACGGGCCCUACCUGGUGUCGAGGGUGACGCGCCGGAUGCCGGAGCUCGACGUCACGGUGCUGCCGCCGCGGGCGUUCUACCCCGUGGACUGGAACAAGAUCGGCGGGCUGUUCAUGGCGCCCAAGGACAGGAAGGAGGAGAAGUGGGUGCAGGCCAAGGUGGACAACAUCAGAGGUGGGAGCUUCGGCAUCCAUCUGUGGAACAGGGAGAGCAGAGGGAUCGAAAUGGAGGAGGGGAGCGUGAUCCGAAGGUUGAUUUCGGACGGCUGCUUGUUCUGCAAUUCUUCCGUCGUUGCAUGA
rnacentral:rRNA from 1 species